rnacentral:rRNA from 1 species
GUCUACAGCCAUGCCACCUUGAACAAACUUGAUCCCGUCUGAUCUUGGAAGCUAAGCGGGGUCAGGCCUGGUAAGUAUUUGGAUGGGAGACCACAUAGGAAGACCAGAUGCUGUAGGUG